CCCACCGUGUUCAGGGACAACCCUGUGAUCAUGGUUUUGGUCACAUAGCUUCCAAGUGAGUGUUGUGCAAACAUUUGCUAGGAUCUCUCGGGGAGCCUGUUAGAAAAGAAACUCCUGAGCCUGCUCCAGAGCUUCUGUUCAGCAGGCCUGAGGUGGGACCAUACACCUGUCUUUUCAGCAAGCCCCCCCCCACCUCUGAGGAUGCACCCCAAAGCUAGAGAAUUCCUGCUCUGAGCCAUCUCUGAAAGCACCAAGAGCCAGGUCAGGAAGAUUCCUGCAGCUGCUGAGUUAGUACUUUUAAGAAAGUACUGGAUUCCCUCUCACAAUGGGACUUUGAUUUUUUUAAGAAAAAGGUUUCAUAAGUUUUCAAAUAACCUGGAGCAGUUGAGCAAACUUAAUGUGCAGCGUGGUCCCUGCUGGCUGGGUUUGAGGGGCUGGGUCUCUCUGAGUGGAUGCUGGUGAGGUGCAGAGGAAGAAGAAAAGGUGCCUGAGGGCCUGUGUGGAAGGCCUGUCACACAGCACAUCCUGGGAAAUCUGUCCAGGAAGCAGCCAGGCGGGCAUCAGCCAGGCGGGCAUCAGCAUCUUCACUGUGCAGAUGAGAAACUGAGGCCGCAGAGGUGAAGGGACAUGCCCAGGAUCACUAAGGCAAGACGGGGGAAGAGCAGAGAUCUUGGGCAUGAUCUCGGCUCACUGCAACCUCCACCUCCCAGGUUCAAGGGAUUCUCCUGCUUCAGCCUCCCAAGGAGCUGGGAUUACAGGUGCCCGCCACCACGCCCGGCUAAUUUUUGUAUGUUUAGUAGAGACAGGGUUUCACCAUGUUGGCCAGGCUGGUCUCGAAUUCCUGAUCUCAAGUGAUCCGCCUUGCUCUGUCCCUUAGGGACCUCAGCUUAGUGUUCCACACACUGGCAGAUCGCCUCGUUCUUCUCAGGGCUCAGUGUUUUCCUGAGUCUGAACCACGAUCUGGGUAGCCAUCCCCUGGCGAGGACCAUUCGGGGUUCCAGCAGUCACAUGCCACGGUAAACAAGCUUCGUAAACAUCCCACGACAAAGGUGGGAGAGAAUCCCAGUAGGGACAAUGACUACAGGUGGAAUUGCUGGGAAAAAGUAUGUCGGUUUUAAGUGUUGAUAACUGGUCCUUUAUUGGUCGUGGUCAUUCAUUCUUCUGCCAGGCGGGGCUGGUGUUCCUAUAUCCUCUCCUCACCAACAGAGCGUCUUAUGUUUAUUUGUUGGCAACGUGGCAGGUGAAACAUGUACCCUGUCAUUAAAAAAAAUUAUACUUGGCUGGGCACGGUGGCUCACACCUGUAAUCCCAGAGCUUGGGAAGCUGAGGUGGGUGGAUUGCUUGAGGCCCGGAGCUCGAGGCUAGCUUGGGCAGCACAACGAGACCCUGUUUCUACAAAAAAUACAAAAAUUAGUGGGGUGUAGUAGUGCACGCCUGUAGUCCCAGCUACUGGGGAGGCUGAGGUGGGAGGAUCACUUGAGCCUGUCUCAGAACAAACAAACAAACAAACAAAAAUAAGAAAAAAAUACAUAGUUUUAAAACAGUUUUAAACACAUUUGGGAAAAUAUAGGCAGUAGAAAUAGCAGUUGUGCUGUUAAUGCCUCAGACAGGGCUGGGCUCGUAGUAGGUGCUCAAUAAAUAUGUAUUAAGUAAGUGAAUAAGGAAGAAAAUCCCAUGGCUCUGCCAACAAGAAACACUUCUGUCAACAUUUCACUGUGUUUGUUUUCCUGAGUAUUUUUUCCUCUACAUAAUUUAGCUUUGUUUUCCAUUCAUUAUGCUCACCCGUGCAGACACAGUUUUUAAUCUUGUUUCUUUUUUUUCACUUCACGUUGUUGACAUGUGUGUUUCUCUCUUCUAAGCAGCGUUUCAGCAUCUCUAUAAAACCCUCACAGGUGAUCCCUAGAAACACAGCCAGUGGCCCGGAAGCUGCACUGUUUUGUGCACCGCAGGGAUGGGCACAGAUGGGGCUGCCUGCCCUCCUCCUGGAAGGAGGGAGAACCCAGUCUGGCCUGGAGUGGUCAAGAGCUAACUCUAGACUCAGCAAGACCUACUUCUCUCUCCUGCCCCUACUUCCUUGCUGCUGACCUGGGCAAGUCGCUGAAGCCUCUCCGUGCCUCAGUCUGCUCGUGCGUAAGAUGGGCACAGGGCACACUGCCUACUUGAUUGGGCUCAACCACGUGCAGUAAGUAGCUGGUGUCUGGCAAGAGCCCUCAGGAAACAGUAACCCCAUUAAUUCAAAUGCACGUGCCUGGAACAGGCUCUGGGGGGCCAGCCCGGGAGUCCCACUCCAUGAUGGCCACCCUGGGGCCUGGCAGGCUGGGCUGGCAUCCCAGGCCCACCGGAUACUGGCUGUGCACCCCGGCCAGGCCACACAUCUCUGAGCCUCACUUUCCCGUGUGUGAGAUGAGGCUAGAAGCUGCUUUCUCUUGCGUGUGUGGGGAUUGGCGGUGACAACACGGCCAGGAGCCCAGGCCCAGCCUACGCGAGCAGCCUCGCUCCAGGCCACACGCCCCACUCCUGACAGCUCUGUGCAGCGAGUUCGUGCGCGAGCGGGUGGCUGUCUGCCAGGCGAGGGGCGCGGGUGCCCAAGAGGGCUUCACUGCUUCUGGAAAGAUCACAAGGAAAAACCACCUCCGCGGCGGGACGCUACCCGCGGGCCGCUGCGGUCCCGCUCGCGGCCGGCAGGGGGCAGGAUGUCCCCGCGAGUCGCCCGUGUCUUCGGGUGUCCUCAGGUCACCCCGCACCGCUCGCAGCCUCCGCGCCUAGUUAAAGGGCGACGCACUCAUUUCUGCAAAGAAGGAGCCCAGCGGCCCCUCCCCGGGGAACUCUUUCCAUCAACUCGGGGCCUAAUAAUUUACAUUUAAUUUGUUAGCGGUUUAAUGUUUAAUUUUAAAAGCGAGAUGAUUCAUUACCAUAUUAAUAAAUAAUAACAUUUAUUAUUCUCCUAAUGAGUGUCCAAAAUACAGAAGCAAUUACAUGUUUUAUAUAUUUUCUCGUAAUUUGAGACACCAGAGCGUUAAUUACAGAGACUCACGCGUGGACCCCAUUCUGAUCCAGGGUCCUGAUCCUGCCUUUGUUUCGGUCUCUGAACCAGCCGCCCUCCGGGGCUUCUGCAAUUCCCUCAAUUAGAGGAGAGGAAGUCGUACGUGACGAAGCUGGGGCUCUCACAGAACCCCGGCGCCCCAGACCCAGGAGCUGCAAGACCUCAGCUCCCCGUGCCCACACUCGGAGACCCAGGCCCCUCCCAGUCCCCCGUCUCCUCUGUGCAGGGUUCUUCAGGAAGAAUCGGAAAGAGGCCCCCCGACCCACAACCAGCCUCGCAUUCCCUCCUCCCGCAGGGAUCCAUUGAGCUGGGGGGUGGGACUAUCCUCACUUCACAGAUGGGGAAACUGAGUCCUGGAGAGAGACGCUCCGGUGUCCUCAGCUGGUGAGGGGCAGAUCCGGGAGCCACGUCCCACGCAGUCGGUUGGCCCCAAGCUUGGUUCCUGCCUCAACCCCAGCGCAGGUUGCAGCAGGCCCGCGUAGGAGGGCGGCCUGGGUCUGGACAGAUCCACAGCCGGCCAACGCCCCUGGCUAGCUCUCUAUGGCUUUGCUUCUUCUCUUGACUUGCCAAGUUCUUCUUGUUCAUUGUAGAAAAUGUGGAAGGUGAGGCCGGGAGCGGUGGCUCACGCCUGUAAUCCUAGCACUUUGGGAGGCCGAGGCGGGCAGAUUGCCUGAGCUCAGGAGUUCGAGACCAGCCUGGGCAACAUGGUGAAACACGUCUCUACUAAAAAAAAAAAAAAAAAAAAAAAAAAAAUUUGCUGGGCGUGACGGCAGGCGCCUGUAGUCCCAGUGGGAGUUUGGGGAGGCUGAGGCAGGAGAAUCACUUGAACCCGGGAAGCAGAGAUUGCAGUGAGCCGAGAUCGUGCCACUGCACUCCAAUCUAGCGACAGAGCAAGACUCCGUCUCAAAAAAAAAAAAAAAAAAAAAAGUGGAAGGUGAAAAAAACACGGAGAGACAGCAAAGCUGGCAAUGACAUAGCUCCAAAAAUCCCACUUCUCAGAUAAGAUGCAGGCAGUAAGGGCCUGGAGUUUUAUGUAUCCUGAUGUUUGAAAGGGCUUGGACAGGGCACUUCCUCCCUCCAUAGCUCUUCUGUCCUUAGGAAUCCCUCCCUUCUGGAGGGGAAGGGUGGGGGUUUUCCUGUUUGGUCCCCAGGGAAGGAAGUUCAGAGACAGAGGCCCACUCAGGGCCACCCCCUGGCCUGCACCCCUGAAAUGCAAUUUGGAUAAUAUGGAAAAUUACUAGGAAGAAAAAACGCUAUAAUCCCCCCACCUAGAGAUAACCAGGCGUUCUGGUAUAUACCUAUUGAGGACUUUUUUCCCAAGCAAAUACUCAGAAAGAGACUUCCUCCCAAUAGGCAUGAGAUCUUACUCCACGUGCAGUUUGUCUUAUCUUGAUUUUUUUCCAGUAAUCUUUUAAGAGUUUCCCAUGCCAUGUAGUCAUUCUUCAAAAACCCACUUUGAACAGCUGCGUAAUAUUCCGCUGUGGAGGAGUGCCCUGCAGUGUAGAGAAAUGAGUUAUUUACGCUGAAGUCUGUUAUUACAUGGACAUCUUCCCUUUUCUGACCCUGCAAUGACCACACUCAUAGGUGAGUCUCUCUGGAAAUCCUUGACUACCUCCUUAGGGUCCAUUCUUAGAAGUGGAAUUACUGGGUUAGAGGGCAUGAGUGCCUUGAGGGCGGCUGUCUCCCUCUACCUGCAUGCCUGCCAGGGCAAACCCGUGCAUGCUCCCAGGACAGGCCUGGCAGGGCGUGUCUCCCUGCUGCACCCUUGGUACCCUUGGCAGGGCUAACAUUAUCCUCUAAACCAGGUCUUUGCAGCACUUACCCUUUUCAAGGUGCUACUGUACCUCUCCUUUAAGGAG
rnacentral:lncRNA from 1 species